AUGGAGGCGCUGCGGCGGCCGGCGCUGCCCGAGGACGCGGUGCGCUACCGCCUGUUCGCGGCGGCGGCGGCGGGCCCGGGCGGCGAGGCGCUGCUGCGGCGCUGCGCUGAGCUGGCCCUGGUGCGCUUCGCCCCGCUCCUGGCCGCCUACGUGUGGCAGCGGCAGCCGUUCCGCCUGCGCUACGUGCCGGGCCGCGGCGAGAUCCCGGCACACUUGGGCGGCACCACGGAGUUCGGGGAUAACGUGGAGGAUGAGUGGUUCAUUGUGUACCUGCUGCGGGAGAUCACCAGAGAGUUCCCGGGGCUGGCAGCCAGUAUUGAUGACAACGAUGGAGAGUUUCUCUUGAUAGAAGCAGCUGAUUUUCUCCCAAAGUGGCUGAAUCCUGACAACAGUGAAAACAGGGUGUUCUUUUACAAAGGAGAGCUGCACAUCAUUGCGCCGGGGGAGCCCUGGGAGCAGGGCUGGGCCCUCUCUGCUCCCCGUGCCACGGUGCCGCAGGCGCUGGCUCUGUUAUCCACCCGCGCCGAGGAGUUCCUGGCUGCAGAGCCCAUCAGAGCUGCGCUCAAUAAACGCCUCCAUGGGUAUCCCGAGAAGAUCCAGGCCUCGCUGCACCGAGCCCGCUGCUUCCUCCCGGCCGGGAUCGCGGCCGUGCUGAGGCUGCGCCCGUCCCUGGUGGCUGCGGCCGUCCAGGCCUUCUACCUGCGGGAGCCGGGCGAUCUGGGGGCCUGCCGGCGCCCGUUCAGAGCCUUCCCUGCCGAGCAGCGAGUGAUGGCCCUGGUGACUUUCACUCGGUGUUUGUAUGCACAGCUGGUGCAGCAGCAGUUUGUUCCAGACAGACGCAGUGGAUACACCCUGCCCGCCCCAGCUCAUCCUCAGUACAGAGCCUACGAGCUGGGCAUGAAGCUGGCUCAUGGCUUUGAAAUUUUGUGCUCCAAGAGCAGCAAAGUGGCUCCUGAUGCCAAGAGAAACGUGUUAAGGGGUCCUCUGUGGGAGAGAUUCCUCAGGAGCUUGAAGGAGAAGGAUUAUUUCAAGGGAGAAAUGGAAGGAUCAGCCAAGUACCUGGAGCUGUUGCACAUGGCAGAAGAUCACUUCCAGCAAUCUGUUGCAGUGCCAGAAAGCUGUGAUGAAGUGAGCCCAGGUGAUGAAAUCCUGGCACUACUACAGACAACCCCCAUUGAUCUGAAGGAAUUGGAGAGAGAAGCAGCUUGUCUUCCUGCAGAGGAUGAUGACAGCUGGCUGGAUAUUACACCAGGUGCUCUGGAUCAGAUGCUGAAGGAGACAAGAAAUGAGUCCCUUCCUUCCCCAAAUGAGGAGGAGCAAAACUAUGACUUGGAAACAGUUGCUGAGAGCAUGAAGGCUUUUGUGUCCAAAGUGUCCACGCACGAAGGAGCAGAAAUGCCAUGGUCAUCUGAUGAAUCCCAAGUUACCUUUGAUGUGGAUUCUUUUACAAAAGCUCUGGACAGAAUUUUAGGGGCAGACUCAGAGGAGCUGGAUUCUGAUGAUGUGGAUGAGGAGGAGGAGUUUGGUUUCUCAGCUGAGGAUGAUGAAGAGCUGGAUGCUGGGAAUGGAAGGCAGGAGCAGAAGGUGUCUCCUGAGGAGCUCGUGGGCAGUCUCAAGGCGUACAUGGAGGAGAUGGACCGUGAGCUGGCACAGAGCAACGUUGGGAAAAGUUUCAGCAGCCACAAGAGAGGGGCAAGUUCUGUUGGAGCAGCCCCAUGUGAGAGUGCUGGCCCUGACUGUGGAGCUGAGGCUGCUGAGCUGGCAGCCCUGGAUGUGGACACGAACCUGGUGGCAAACCUGCUCGAGUCCUACAGUGCCCAGGCUGGCCUGGCAGGGCCCACCUCGAGCAUUUUACAGAGCCUGGGGGUGAAUUUACCUGAGAGCUCAGAGCUCACUGGCAGCUGAGCAAGGCAGGGAGAGCCUUGGCACCAGACAUGGCUGCUGGGGAGAUGGAGCACAGACACACGAGCAGGAUGGGGGAGAAGAGGCCAAAGCAGUUCAGGGAGAGCACUGGCAGGUUGGACAGGGAUUAGAGAUGGACAGCAAGAGCUGGGAAGUGUGAAGAAGGUUCUGCUAAAUUUCAAGGAAUUUGGACUGCUGAGAGGUGAGAGACUCAGACAAAUCUGUGGUGGAAAAAUGGGGUUAACAGAGGCUUUUUUAAUUGAGACAAGGCUAAUGAGCAGUUGGUAGUGGAAAGCAGAGGUACUUGAACCUUGGGAAGGGUUGGUGUUUGACCAGGGAAGGUAAUUUACUCUGAAAAUACAUAAAAUUCUCUACUGAUGAGUAGGUAGAUCAAGUUUAGAUACUUUAAAACAUAAUUGAGUUGAAGAACAUGAUCACAUUGAACUGCUGUGUGGCCUGUGCUAUAGAAAAGGUCCAAAUAGAUGGAAGGGCUCCCUUAGUGCAUGAGGAGAACUCCUAAGCUGGGUUCAGAACAAAGCUGCUCUUUUGCAAACACUCCAGCUGCUGUUGCUGCUUGGAUAAUCUGACUUUUCCAUCAGUGGGGCUGGGAUUUCUCUGGGGCUCUGCUCAUCCCAACUCUUUCCAUUUGUUCAGCAGCUUCCCAGGGGAGCCCUGCAAGGCUCUGGGAGUGCUCCCAGGAGAGUUUGCCAUGGCAGAAGAAGCAUUUCCAUGCUGCCUCUUCCACUGCUUUGAGGCCAACGCUGCCAGAUGGAAAUUGCCAAGGGCACGAGGCUGGCAAGUGAAGAGCAGAGCUGCUGUGAAGGGAGAGCUCAGUUCAUUCAGAGAGAUCACACAGGUCACUUGAGUGCAGGUAGGAAGCAGAAAAUGAGAGAUUUCCAGUAAAACUUUUGUAGUUUGGUGGGGGAAAGGAGUCGUGAUACCCAGUGGCUGCAGGGAUGGUGAUCUAAAUUAGUUCUGAGCAGAUUUCCCUUUUUUUUUUAAUUGGUGAGGGUUAUUAACCUUACCUGCAGUUGUAAGGCCAAACAGUUUUGGAAUCUAUUCUAGUUUAAUCUAGCUGUCCUCCAUGGUGCAUACUCACAGCAGCCAUAUUUAACUAUCAUAUGAUGUGUGAAUUUGCUUGUGUCCCUAUCCCAAAUGUCAUCCUUUCUGGGUUUUCAGCUUCUUUUUAACAUGCUAGUAAAUCUUCUGUGACCCUCUGCAGUAUUUCCAUGGGGAAACCCACUGAAGAGCACAAGCUAAAGGAUGCUACCUCCAGCUGAGUACAGGGAGCAGUGGGAAAGGAUGUUAUAUCAGCAUUUUCUGUCCCUGUGCUGAUACUGUUCUCCCUGGGAGGGAGCUGGGAAAUCCCUAUUUCUGCUGCUGUGCUCUUCCUGGUGUUUGUCACAGCUGAUGCCAACCCCAGUUUUCCCCCUGUAAUGAUGAUUCUGGACAUCUCUGAGUGUACCUGCUGGCCUUGGAAAUGCCACUGAUGGUUAUUGAGGAGAAGGCAAGUCCCACCAUUUCUGUGUGGGAACGGAAACGUGUGGCUGUCCCUCAGUGCAGCUCUUUUGGUGACAGCGGUCGGUGGCCAUUCCUGGUGCUGUUCUGUUAUCAUUUUUCCUUAUAGCAUUCUAUUUUAUUCCCUUCACACUUCCCACCCUUUCCAAUUCCUCACUUCUUACCCAGCACUGCCCCAAUGGUCCCUGGGUGCAGCUCCUUUAGAGAACAGGGCCCGUCCCAACAGGCGGCUGCUGCAGCCAGGGCAGGGGCAGGGCAAGGCACAUCACAACACUGGUGGUGCUCAGAGAGUGUUGGUUUGUGCAGUUCAGGCAGAUCAAAUGAAUCCCAAUUGUCAGAGAUUUCCAGCAUCUGCUACUUGGCCCCUUUUUUCCUGCAUGGAUUUGACAGUUCUUCCUUUCCUCCCACAGAGCUGCAAAGCAAAAUGCCCACCUGCCCCAUGGCCAUCCCCACCACCUUGUCUCUCUUUCUCUGCCCUUUACUUUGCAGCACUUCCUCCCUCCUCCUCCUGUCCCUGCCAGCUCCAGCAAAGCCAUUUCCCCCACUGGCACCAGCUGCCUCCUGUCCCUCGCUCCCAUUUUGCCCACUCUGAACUCCUGGAGCCGCCUGCCCGCGGAGCCGCAGCCGCCGUGGGGCCAGGCAAUGGUGCAGGGAAUGCUGGCAGGGAUUCUUGGGCUGGGCUGGGCCAGGCCAGGUGCCUGGGGCCAGCUCUGAGCCUCUGCUCCUGCCCCUGGGCAGGCAACAGAACACAGCAGGAAAGGCUCGGGGCUCUCAAGAAAGGCAGCCAGAGAUCUCUCAACCAUCAUGGGCAGAAGAGGCCCGGAGUGGGGAAAUUAAAUUUCAACGAAUUUAUUAUCAAACAAAUCAGAACAAGGGAAUGAGAUGUUCCCCAAAUCCUAAAAAUGCACCUUCUUCACACUGUUCUCUCCUUCCUGGGCUUCACUUUGUCCCCAGUUCACUACUCCCUCCUCCCCACACAGUGGCACAGAAGGAUGGAGGUUACAGUCACGUCAUGUCACUGCUUCUCCCUCCGAGAGACAAAUCCUUGUCCUGCUCCAGCCUGGGAUUCCUCCCACAGAAGGACAGUCAGAUCCUUCACAGCAGACAAACAGACAGACAGACAACAGGCUAUUCUCCACAGUCAGGUGCCUGAUGCCAAAAGUGGGAUUCCUGCUUAGCACAUGUCAGCGGUUCUUCCUCCUCUUCCAAAAACAGUCCAAAAGUGCCACAUUCUGGCCACUUGGUGAUGAUCUCCAGGAGCCUAGGCACAAUUGGAUUUCCCACUGGAGCUCGUUGUGUCGUGAGGGCAAUGCAGUCACUGCAGGCAGCA